AUGAGAAAAAUAGAACCCAACAGACAUCAUAAUAUGGCAAAGUUGUUUCCAACAAAUGUUUUGCCUACUUUAGCAUUGCCAUCGUGUUUCCAUGACCCUCUUCUUUAGUUUAAUGUAGACUAAACAAUCACAUUAGCCUCCGAGGUGCAACCCAUGUCUAGUGCACAAAUACAGUAAAUAUUGGAUGCAGCUAUGAUAGUACUAGGUAACUCAUGUCAGUCUACAACAGUGUACUAACUAGCAGCAACAAACUCAAACCAACCCUGGGCCAUAGCAAAACAUGCAUAGUGUAACGGCGUCACCGGCCUGAAUCUAAUCCAAUCUGGAGCAGUCAGUCUACAUCUGUAAAGCAUCCAAACGAGAUUGUUAUUUCUCUAGCUAUGUUUAUAACUGAGGGAUGAUGACAAUCAUUGACCUUGUUUUUCUGUUAGACAAAAUGCACAGUUGGUCAUGAACGGAUGCCAGGACCUACCAGAAAGAGCAAAGCUUGUCAGGCAAGACCUCAGAAUAAAAGUGUGUAAUGCGACACAAGUACCCGUGUGACACCUCAUUCAUUGUUUCCAGUCUCCCUCGACUCCUAUGAAAAGGACAGACCAUCAUGAGGCCUCUGAUUGUGACCCGAGUUGCUGCCCUGAUGACACAGAUGACUUCAUCAACACAGACAAGCCCUCCCAGUCAACACCACCUCAUGAGAUUGCCUGCUGCACUUGUUCAAGAGAUGUCCAGUUUGCAGCCGGACAUGCAGCAUAAAGAACACCAGCAAGAGGGCCCCCUAUCAGCAUCAUGCAGACAUGCCCUCGCUGUGAGCACUCCUAUGAAUGGAACAGUUAGCCACAUAUUGCCAAGUAUCCGACCAGCAACCUUCACCUGUCAGCGGCAACAGCUUUCACAGGCUCAUAAUUUGUACUAAUACAGAAGUAUCUUUGAUGAGGGGCCAGGAGCUGAUCUACGCUGCCAUGCCUAUCAAUGGGGCUCUGGCAAAGGCCUCACCUCCAGCCUCACCUCUUGCCUGCUCACCAACGGUCGUCGAUGGGGAGAACAGAAUUAGAAACAUGUAUGGAGCCAGC